GAUUCAUAGGAUAGAACUCGUCUGGUUCGCCCGCCCCCAAAUCGGGAAACGAGGGGGAGAACAAGAUAUCCGAUAAUUGAAGAGGCCAAUUUCUUCCAAAACCCUAGAAUUCGUCUUCCCCAGUCCUAAAUUUGAGAUCAAAUAUUCAUGACACUCGGUCCAUUUCGUUCUCGGAUCAAGUUCCUCGCUCGCAGUCGGCCGCGGUGAACCCUAGCCCGCCACUCGCUCGCUCUUGGGCGCGGUCUUGGAAGACGUUCUGGUGUCAGGCCAAGCAAGUGAUUGAAGAAUCUAUUUAAUCAGCAUGGUUUUUUCCUAUUAGUCACCGUUUUGAUGCUUAAAGAGUAUAUCUGUGCAAGUUAUGCAGAGUUAUAUGUCCUUGAAGUUAUAUAUUGUGUUGUGUGGGGUUAUUUUUGUAAACAAUUACUAUCUACUCUAUUAUCAAAGGUCUUGUUGCUGGGGUAGAUCAUUCAUUAAUGCCCAAUAUUGGAGUUCUGAACUUGGUGGAUCAGUUUUGUGACUUUGUUGUCAUUCAUUUUUUCUCUCUUCUAGUUUGCAAAGAGGUUUCCAUCGAUGUCAGAGAGCGAAAAGGCUAUAAUAAAGCCAGAGGUCAUGAAGUCAUUUAUCUGGCUCCAAUGUGCUGAUGGGUCAAUUCAACAAGUUGAAGAGGAGGUUGCAAUGUUUUGUCCUAUGAUAUACCGAGAGAUCCUCCAGACAGGGAUGGGAUCUUCUAAGAACUAUGCUAUAUCUUUACCUGAACGUGUCAACCCGGCAAUUCUCAGCUUGAUAUUUGAUUAUUGCCGAUUUCAUCAAGUUCCAGGCCGCUCAAAUAAGGAACGGAAAUCCUUUGAUGAGAAAUUCAUCAGGAUGGACACAAAACGACUAUGUGAGUUGACUUCUGCAGCAGACAGCCUCCAACUAAAGCCAUUGGUCGAUCUUACUAGUCGAGCACUUGCUCGAAUGAUAGAAGGGAAGACACCAGAAGAGAUUCGGGAGACAUUUCAUUUGCCAGAUGAUCUUACUGAGGAAGAGAAGCUGGAGCCAUUGAAAAAUGUGAAUGAUGAUCCACGAAUUCGGUUGCUCAAUCGAUUGUAUGCUAAAAAACGAAAAGAAUUAAAAGAGCGGCAGAAAUUAAAGAACACUGAAGUAAAGGAAGAGAAGAAAGAUGAGCGUUCAGUUGAUGAAAUCUUAUCUUUUAUAAAUGGAGAUGAAGACUCUAAAGGAGUUAAAGCUAUUAAGAAUAAGAAAAAGAACAGGAAGAAGAAAGAUCUUCCAAAAGAUAUUUCCAGAAAUGACCCUGCCAAAGUGCACAAGAAGAAGGAAGCUACAUUUUCUCCGAGUCCAAGUCAAAGUUCAGAAGCACAGGAGAACGAUGAAGAUGCUUUUGCAUCAAAUGGUGAAUUUGAAGAUGGUGAUAUUGAUGAUGAGUUAGAUCCUGCAGUGAAGGAAGAACUUGAUAGAGAAGUGGAAGAUUUUGCCAGGAGACUAAAUUCUGAUUGGCCCGAAAGAAUGCAAGAAAUUUUGUCUUUUGGACAAGAUAGAAGGCUCGUUCCAAAUUUGAUGAACUCUAACGGUUCACUUAAGAAGUUCACAGGAUUGGACAGGAGAUAGUUGUUCUGCAUAAAUUCUACGCAAGGGUAUCUCCUUUUCCAGAAGAGUUGAAGGACCAACUUGGCCGAUACUUGCACUGCUUGCCAAAACCAUCUCAUGGGGAAGCAAGCAGGUGGCCUAGUUGAUGGAUGUGACAAUGCUUAUGUGAGAGCUUCUUGCAAUUGUAUGAGCCUUUGCCCUCUACCAGAUGACGGAAAUGGCUUUUGUUGCCCCUUUGGACCCUUCUUUGAAUUGACCUAGUUUCAAAUUUUGCUUGGCCUUUUUCUUUUUAAUGGGUGUAUAACAUUUUUAGAUGAUAGCUGAUGCCAUCAGUCUGAUCUGCCUAACUUGCUGCAGCUCCGUUUUAUUUAAGCUCAUGUGGAUUACUCCAUUUUGCCAAGACUCUAAACCGACCACAGCUGGAGUCUGGUUGAAGUGCUGCUGCAAGGGGCCAUGAUCCACCGAGGUGCCUUCAAGGGGAUGAGUGACCAUCCCUGGUCUGGAUAGGAAGCACAGUUCUUUGAAGGAUAAACAAAUGGGUAGAGCAACAGAGGAGGAACCAAAGGGAGCUGUGUACAUGGAACAUAUCAUAUUGCCUCUGGAACAACACUAGUAACGAAUAGAUACGAGCAACAGGAAGUGAUGCUCUAUUGAAAAUGUUGCUGCAUCGCUUGGAUCUAGCAAGCAGGCAUGGAUGGAAACAAUGAGAUCUAGCGAAAGCAAAUAAUAAUAAUAAAGAACAUUUAUCUUUGCA